rnacentral:rRNA from 1 species
GACGAACGCUGGCGGCGUGCCUAAUACAUGCAAGUCGAACGCAGUGGGGACGGGUGAGUAACACGUGGGUAACCUCCCAUCAGAGGAGAUAACACUUGGAAACAGGUGCUAAACCGAUAUCGAUGGAUGGACCCGCGGUGCAUUAGCUAGUGGGUGGGGUAACGGCUCAACAAGGACACGAUGCAUAGCCGACCUGAGAGGGCGAUCGGCCACACUGGGACUGAGACACGGCCCAGACUCCUACGGGAGGCAGCAGUAGGGAAUCUUCGGCAAUGGACGAAAGUCUGACCGAGCAACGCCGCGUGAGUGAAGAAGGUUUUCGGAUCGUAAAACUCUGUUGUUAGAGAAGCGGUAUCUAACCAGAAUGCCACGGCUAACUACGUGCCAGCAGCCGCGGUAAUAC